UUUCUCCCAGAGCGCGAGGAGCCAUGC
rnacentral:sRNA from 1 species